rnacentral:rRNA from 1 species
UACGUAGGGGGCAAGCGUUUGUCCGGAUUUAUUGGGCGUAAAGAGCGUGUAGGCGGCUUGGUAGGGUCUUGCGUCAAAACCUGAGGCUCAACCUCAGUUCGCGUGGGAAACCACCUAGCUAGAGUCCGGAAGAGGAGAACGGAAUUCCCAGUGUAGCGGUGAAAUGCGCAGAUAUUGGGAAGAACACCAGUGGCGAAGGCGGUUCUCUGGGACGGUACUGGACGC